rnacentral:rRNA from 1 species
UGAUGUGCCCAGAUGGGAUUAGCUAGUAGGUGGGGUAAUGGCUCACCUAGGCGACGAUCCCUAGCUGGUCUGAGAGGAUGACCAGCCACACUGGAACUGAGACACGGUCCAGACUCCUACGGGAGGCAGCAGUGGGGAAUAUUGCACAAUGGGCGCAAGCCUGAUGCAGCCAUGCCGCGUGUAUGAAGAAGGCCUUCGGGUUGUAAAGUACUUUCAGCGAGGAGGAAGGCGUUGUGGUUAAUAACCUUGGUGAUUGACGUUACUCGCAGAAGAAGC